UACCUAAAAGCUAGCCUAACAAUUUUAAUCUAUCACAAAAUUAAAAACUUUUAAUAUAUAAAGUAAAUCAUUCACAACCCCUAGUA
rnacentral:rRNA from 1 species